AUUAUUACACACAGACCAAACUAAUAUAGCAACAGUUUCUUGUCAUCCCUUUUCUUACUUUUUCUUUGUAAGAAAGAAGAAGUGGGUUAUUAUAAUACAGUUAAUAGUUAUAAUACAGUUAAUAGGAGUAAAUUUUAAAAAAAAAGAGGUGGGUAAAUUUUAUGAGCUGAUGCUGAAAUUGAGUACCUCAAAUAAUAACAUGGAUCUUGGGAAUUCUUGGAAUAAUAGUAGCAGUGUCAGCUUCCAUACUUGUUUAAGUAUUGAUUUCAGUUACUUCCAUUCAGCUGCCAUGUUUUUGUCUUUUGGGAGUUCAAUUGCAGUACCUAAAAUGGCCUUAAAUAAUUCCUCUUCCAGUAAACCUUGUUAUGCUGAUGAUUUAAUUCUCAAGUCUUCUUCUUUUUCUUAUUCUUGAAGUAGAAGACUUAAAUUUGAUCACCACUCCCCUCUUCAACUGUUUUCUUUUCUUUUAUUUGUUUGUUUCUUUGUUUUCUUGAUUGUGUGUCAUCAGCCUUUUUUGUCUCUUAUAAAAGACCUUUUGCGACUCUAUAAAUCCUAGAGAAAUGCUGUGUGCAUCAUUGCCAGGGUUAGACGGUGGUGCUGUGAAAGCAUCUUCAGCAGCUAUGGCUCCUUUGGAUAUUUACAGCAGGUGUGGUUUUGAUGGUAGUAUUGGAUGUUGGAUUGGGAAUGGGAAAGGAAAGUGGAACAAAUUGGCUGCUGCAACUACAAAGGCACCAAUGAAGAGGAGGUUCAACAUUUCUCCUAUGGCUUCCUCUGCUCUAGCUGAAUCCCGAUGUACUUCUAGAGCCAAAUUUUAUCAGGAGGUUCUUAACGAUGCCAGGGAAAAAUUUACCCAGGAGAUAUCUUUCCAAUCCAAGGACAGAGAUAUUUCUCUGGCAAAGGCUUUGCUUUAUGUGGCCUCCGAAGACGAGGCAUUUAUGGCUUUCAACCGGGAGAUGGAUGCAUAUUCGCUCCAAAGUGAGAGGAGAUCUGCUUCAUUGCCUUCUGAUGCCACGGAAUGGACAUGCGUGGAGGCCAUGCCUCUUGCUGGAAAGAAUAUGAAUGAGUGGAUGCUUGAGUUGGAUGUCAUUGCUAGAGAAGUGGAGGCAGAACUAGUUUCGAGAGAAAUAGGAUGCGAUUUGGCUGAAGUUUUGGAUGCAGUGAACAUGGUUCUUUUUAAGUCAAGGGGAUUCAAAAGGUCAUCUGUACUUGUGGAUUCAAAGUGUGCAUACCUGCAUUCAGUGUUAAGCUCUGGAUAUUGUAGUGCAAUUUUGCUUAGCGUCGUUUAUAUUGAAGUCUGUCGAAAACUUAAUCUGACCAUUGUGGGAUCCCGAGUUGGGGAAGAUUUUUUAAUAUGGCCCCAAACUGGAAACCCUGAGGAGCUAUUCAAGGUUAUUUCUGGUCACAGCUUGUUUGGUAUUGUUAAUGGCAAGUGUGUCGACGACCCUAGAUCAAGGGCUUCUGACAUCAAUAGUAAUUCGUUGCCGGGGCUUGAGUUAGCAACAAAACGAGAUAUUAUCGGAAUAGCUUUGGCUAAUUUGAUGAGGCUUCACUGGAAACGUGCUUCAAGAGCAAAUCAUGGUUUGAUGCUGACUUCUCCCCUUAGAUCUGUUGAUCAUGCAGAUGAUAAGUCUAAUUGUCUGAAUGUCCCAUUGUUGCGGCCUCAAGAUUUGAGGUUCAAGAUGCUAAAUUGCAACCUUGGCAUGAGAAAGGGAGACUUGAGAAUUUUGGACGCAUAUUUUUAUUCUAUUUGAUUCUAACAUUCUACUAAAAUUCUAACAUUCCACUAAAAUAACCAUUUAACCCAUUGUGUUGAAAUAUAGUCGGUGCUUAUUCCUCCAUUUAAGUUUAUAAGAAAACAUAAUGGGGUUCCUGAUCCCUCACUGCUAUAGCUCUAUUUUGGUUAUAUAAGUCCUUUCUAUUUCUAUAUAUAUACUGAGCAAAUUGAAAAUGACUAUAAAUACUGCAUCGCACAGAUUGACUUUCCUUUUUACAUACUUUUAGCCUAUCCUUCCUUUUACUCCCUUAUUGUUAUUUCUUUUCAUCUCUCCCACAUUCCUUAUAGAAAUCCAAGAAAGCCAACCUUGUCUUUCUCUCUUUCUGGUCUUUAGGAGCUGUUGCUUUCUUUAGGUUUUUUCUUUUCACUGAAUCCACUGAUUCUUCUUACAAAAUCAAGUUAUUCAUCUAACCAAAUCAACUGUUUUUAAACAGGCAUAUGUACUUGGACAAGGAAGGUACCCGGCCCGGGGGGGGGGGGGGGGGGGGGGGGGGGAGGGAGCACAGAAGUAGCGAUAAUUAUGAGAGAUCACUUGCUUGAUGCUGUGUUGCAUGUGUCUAGCAGCAUUCUUCUGGUCUAUUACAUCAUAAAACAUAUCAUUCAUUGUCACUGAAAUAUAUGAAGGUCUUCAUCUACAUUCUCUUUUAGGGGAGCAUCUCUGUUUCUGUUUCUGAUAUCCAUUCAGAACUCAUUAUCUUCCUGUUGUUUUCUUCCGUUAUACAUUCUACUAAGGUGGUUAUAAUUGGUACCUGUUAUUUCUUCGUUAAAAACAUGUAUGUAUAUCAAGUAACAAGGAAGUAAGAAUUGAGGCAUUUACUAGACUGCAGUAUACUAUGCACCACACACAUUGGACAGGAAGAGUUUUUAACAAAUCAAACACUAGUUGGCAUUUUUGAUGAUGAUCUGUUGAGCAUUAAGUUUUGUUUGACAUGCAAAACCAUGCUAGUAGGAUUAAUGAUGAAUCAUUUUCUAUCUUACUGUUCUCAAAGAGCCAAGAUAUUUAUUUGCACAUAAAUAAGGGCUAUGUUUAAAUUAAGGUUUUCAGGUUAUCAUGCACAGAUGUCUGACCUUUCCCUAAGGGAUUAAAUUUGUGUGUAAUAUGAUCUGUUCACUUAUAAUGACAUUAUGUCUCUCUCUGGAAUGGUACAAUACUUUCUAGGCUGGCCAUUAUGGCUUCAGAAAGAUUGCUCAUUCUGCAGCCACACAAUUGGGCUCUGAGGAGAGACCAUGGCAUGAUGUUGUAUUAUAGUAGGGAAUAUGAAGAGGCAGUUCAGGAGCUUAGCAUUUGCAUGGCCUUUGCCCCAGAAGAAGCGGCCGAAGUUCUGGAACCUUUUGUUGAGAAAUUACACUUGUUGCGGGUUGAAUCAUCUUGGAAAGAAAGGCCAUUUAACAGUUUCUUGAAUUGUUUGUAGAAAAGCUGUAGCUGUUUCUGCAUUAAGAGCACAGCGAGUACUACUUUGGCUGUAAUCUCUUUUUUUGACUUCUGUAAAUAUAUUCCUUGGACAACCUAAAGUUGUAUCCUUUCUAGUUUCUAUAAUGAAAUAAAUAACAGAACUAGAACAGCUUCAGGCA